rnacentral:rRNA from 1 species
UAGGGAAUCUUGCGCAAUGGGCGAAAGCCUGACGCAGCCAUGCCGCGUGAAUGAUGAAGGUCUUAGGAUUGUAAAAUUCUUUCACCGGGGAAGAUAAUGACGGUACCCGGAGAAGAAGCCCCGGCUAACUUCGUGCCAGCAGCCGCGGUAAUACGAAGGGGGCUAGCGUUGCUCGGAAUUACUGGGCGUAAAGGGCGCGUAGGCGGAUAUUUAAGUUGGGGGUGAAAGCCCGGGGCUCAACCUCGGAAUAGCCUUCAAUACUGGAUAUCUUGAGUUCGGGAGAGGUGAGUGGAAUGCCGAGUGUAGAGGUGAAAUUCGUAGAUAUUCGGCGGAACACCAGUGGCGAAGGCGACUCACUGGCCCGAUACUGACGCUGAGGCGCGAAAGCGUGGGGAGCAAACAGGAUUAGAUACCCUGGUAGUCCACGCCGUAAACGAUGAGUGCUAGUUGUCAGCAUGCAUGCAUGUCGGUGACGCAGCUAACGCAUUAAGCACUCCGCCUGGGGAGUACGGUCGCAAGAUUAAAACUCAAAUGAAUUGACGGGGUCAUAGCUGUUUCCUG